rnacentral:rRNA from 1 species
UAGGGAAUCUUCCGCAAUGGGCGAAAGCCUGACGGAGCAACGCCGCGUGAGUGAUGAAGGUCUUCGGAUCGUAAAACUCUGUUAUUAGGGAAGAACAAAUGUGUAAGUAACUAUGCACGUCUUGACGGUACCUAAUCAGAAAGCCACGGCUAACUACGUGCCAGCAGCCGCGGUAAUACGUAGGUGGCAAGCGUUAUCCGGAAUUAUUGGGCGUAAAGCGCGCGUAGGCGGUUUUUUAAGUCUGAUGUGAAAGCCCACGGCUCAACCGUGGAGGGUCAGUGGAAACUGGAAAACUUGGGUGCAGAAGAGGAAGGUGGAAUUCCAUGUGUAGCGGUGAAAUGCGCAGAGAUAUGGAGGAACACCAGUGGCGGAGGCGACUUUCUGGUCUGUAACUGACGCUGAUGUGCGAAAGCGUGGGGAUCAAACAGG